rnacentral:rRNA from 1 species
GACGAACGCUGGCGGCGUGCUUAACACAUGCAAGUCGAACGGUAAGGCUCCAGCUUGCUGGGGUACACGAGUGGCGAACGGGUGAGUAACACGUGGGUGACCUGCCCUGCACUUCGGGAUAAGCCUGGGAAACUGGGUCUAAUACCGGAUAGGACCGCACCGUGAGGGUGUGGUGGAAAGUUUUUUCGGUGUGGGAUGGGCCCGCGGCCUAUCAGCUUGUUGGUGGGGUAAUGGCCUACCAAGGCGGCGACGGGUAGCCGGCCUGAGAGGGUGGACGGCCACAUUGGGACUGAGACACGGCCCAGACUCCUACGGGAGGCAGCAGUGGGGAAUAUUGCACAAUGGGCGGAAGCCUGAUGCAGCGACGCCGCGUGGGGGAUGACGGCCUUCGGGUUGUAAACUCCUUUCACCAUCGACGAAGGGUUUCUGACGGUAGAUGGAGAAGAAGCACCGGCUAACUACGUGCCAGCAGCCGCGGUAAUACGUAGGGUGCGAGCGUUGUCCGGAAUUACUGGGCGUAAAGAGCUCGUAGGUGGUUUGUCGCGUCGUCUGUGAAAUUCCGGGGCUUAACUCCGGGCGUGCAGGCGAUACGGGCAUAACUUGAGUACUGUAGGGGAGACUGGAAUUCCUGGUGUAGCGGUGAAAUGCGCAGAUAUCAGGAGGAACACCGGUGGCGAAGGCGGGUCUCUGGGCAGUAACUGACGCUGAGGAGCGAAAGCAUGGGGAGCGAACAGGAUUAGAUACCCUGGUAGUCCAUGCCGUAAACGGUGGGCGCUAGGUGUGGGUUUCCUUCCACGGGAUCCGUGCCGUAGCUAACGCAUUAAGCGCCCCGCCUGGGGAGUACGGCCGCAAGGCUAAAACUCAAAGGAAUUGACGGGGGCCCGCACAAGCGGCGGAGCAUGUGGAUUAAUUCGAUGCAACGCGAAGAACCUUACCUGGGCUUGACAUAUACAGGAUCGCGCCAGAGAUGGUGUUUCCCUUGUGGCUUGUAUACAGGUGGUGCAUGGUUGUCGUCAGCUCGUGUCGUGAGAUGUUGGGUUAAGUCCCGCAACGAGCGCAACCCUUGUCUUAUGUUGCCAGCACGUUGUGGUGGGGACUCGUAAGAAACUGCCGGGGUUAACUCGGAGGAAGGUGGGGAUGACGUCAAAUCAUCAUGCCCCUUAUGUCCAGGGCUUCACACAUGCUACAAUGGUCGGUACAGUGGGUUGCCAGUCCGUGAGGGCGAGCUAAUCCCGCAAAGCCGGUCUCAGUUCGGAUCGGGGUCUGCAACUCGACCCCGUGAAGUCGGAGUCGCUAGUAAUCGCAGAUCAGCAACGCUGCGGUGAAUACAAUCCCGGGCCU